AUUCCGAUGACAAGUCCGAAAUAGGACGAAAUGCGUAUCCUGGAU
rnacentral:hammerhead_ribozyme from 1 species